rfam:Gymnopus luxurians FD-317 M1 unplaced genomic scaffold GYMLTscaffold_99, whole genome shotgun sequence.
GGCAAGAUGGCCGAGCGGUUAAGGCGUGUGACUCAAGUGCUUUCAAGCGCUUCCUUUCUCAUGGGCGAAUGUCCGCGUGGGUUCAAAUCCCACUCUUGUCA